GGCGUUGAAGACAAAGGGGAAAUCGGCUUUUGACGGCUGGAUUGUGAUUCCUGUUGUCGUGGGUUCGAGUCCCAUCAGCCACCCCA
rnacentral:tRNA from 1 species